UCCGGUUUAACACCGGCAGUCCUUUUAGAGUGCCCAACUAAAUGCUGGCAACUAAAAGCAAGGGUUGCGCUCGUUGCGGGACUUAACCCAACAUCUCACGACACGAGCUGACGACAGCCAUGCAGCACCUGUGUACCGGCUCUUGCGAGCGACGACAUCUCUGCCAGUCUUCCAGUACAUGUCAAAAGUAGGUAAGGUUCUUCGCGUUGCAUCGAAUUAAACCACAUACUCCACCGCUUGUGCGGGCCCCCGUCAAUUUCUUUGAGUUUUAAUCUUGCGACCGUACUCCCCAGGCGGGAUACUUACCGUGUUAACUGCGUCACUGAAGGGGUCAAUACCUCCAACAACAAGUAUCCAUCGUUUACGGUGUGGACUAC
rnacentral:misc_RNA from 1 species